AACGAACGCUGGCGGCAGGCUUAACACAUGCAAGUCGAACGGGUGUAGCAAUACAUCAGUGGCAGACGGGUGAGUAACACGUGGGAACCUUCCUAGAGGUACGGAACAACGCAGGGAAACUUGCGCUAAUACAGUAUACGCUCUUGCGAGGAAAGAUUUAUCGCCUUUAGACGGGCCCGCGUCGGAUUAGCUAGUUGGUGAGGUAACGGCUCACCAAGGCGACGAUCCGUAGCUGAUCUGGGAGGAUGAUCAGCCACACUGGGACUGAGACACGGCCCAGACUCCUACGGGAGGCAGCAGUGGGGAACCUUGGACAAUGGGCGCAAGCCUGAUCCAGCCAUGCCGCGUGAGUGAAGAAGGCCUUCGGGUUGUAAAGCUCUUUUGUCAGGGACGAUAAUGACGGUACCUGAAGAAUAAGCCCCGGCAAACUUCGUGCCAGCCGCCGCCGUAA
rnacentral:rRNA from 1 species